rnacentral:rRNA from 1 species
CGGCACGGGUGAGUAACACGUAUCCAACCUGCCGUCUACUCUUGGACAGCCUUCUGAAAGGAAGAUUAAUACAAGAUGGCAUCAUGAGUCCGCAUGUUCACAUGAUUAAAGGUAUUCCGGUAGACGAUGGGGAUGCGUUCCAUUAGAUAGUAGGCGGGGUAACGGCCCACCAAGCCUUCGAUGGAUAGGGGUUCUGAGAGGAAGGUCCCCCACAUUGGAACUGAGACACGGUCCAA